CAGCGCCACAAGUGGGAGCCAUGUUUAUUGGGCCUAAAGCGUCCGUAGCCGGUCCGGUAAAUCUUCUGUGAAAUUGUCUGGCUUAACCAGACAGCGUGCAGGAGACACUGCCGGACUCGAGACCGGGAGGGGUCAGAAGUAUUCCUAGGGGAGCGGUAAAAUGCUAUAAUCCUAGGAAGACUACCUGUGGCGAAGGCGUCUGACUAGAACGGUUCUGACGGUGAGGGACGAAAGCUAGGGGAGCGAACCGGAUUAGAUACCCGCGUAGUCC
rnacentral:rRNA from 1 species